rnacentral:tRNA from 1 species
CCAAUAGGGCUGCUAAGCAGGCUACUUUGAUAUAGUAGAUUGUAAAUUAUAUUUCGUUGGU